rnacentral:lncRNA from 1 species
AGACAGGGUCUCUGUCGCCCACACUGGAGUGCAGUGGUGUCAUUUCUGUUCACUGCAACUUCUGCCUCCCAGGUUCAAGCAGUUCUCCUGUCUCAGCCUCCUGAGUAGCUGGGAUUACAGGUGCACGCCACCACGUCCAACUAAUUUUUGUAUUUUUAGUUAGAGACAGGUUUUUACCAUGUUGGCCAGGCUAGUUGCGAACGCCUGACCUCAGGUGAUCACCUGCCUCGGCCUCCCAUAGUGCUGGGAUUACAGGUGUGAGCCACCACACCUAGCCUGUAGUUACUUUUUUGAGUAACUAUUUAAGAAUGUAUUGUUUAAUUUCCACAUAUUUGCAAAUUUUUCAGUUUUCCUGUUAGUGAUUUCUAACUUCAUUGCAUUGUGGUUGGAAAAGAUACUUUGUGUGAUUUCAGUCUUUUGAAAUUUACGGCAAGUUUUUUUGUGGUCUAACGUGUUGCCCUAGAGGAUGUUCCAGUGCACUUGAAAAGAAUGUGUAUUCUGCUCGUGUUGGUUGGAGUGUUCUGCAUAUGUCUUUUAGGUCUAGUUGCCUAACGGUGUUGUUUAAGUCUUCUUUUUCCUUAUGUAUCUUUUGCUUAGUUGUACCACCCAUUAUUGAAAGUAGGGUGUUGAAGUCUCUAGCUAUUAUUGUUGAGCCAUUUCUUCCUUCAAGUCUGUCAAUUUUUGCUUCAUAGAAUUUGGGGCUGUGUUGUUAGGGGCAUAUAUGUUUUUAAUUCUUAAGCCCCAAUUCAGCAGGAAGCAGUUAGGGCGGUCAUCGGCCAAUCUCCCCAACAGCACUUGGGUUUUCCUGUUGAGAAGGGGGACUGAGAGACAGGACUAGCUGGAUUUCCUAGGCCAACUAAGAAUCCCUGAGCCUAGCUGGGAAUGUGACCGCAUCCACCUUUAAACACGGGGCUUGCAACUUAGCUCACACCCAACCAAUCAGAGAGCUCACUAAAAUGCUAAUUAGGCAAAAACAGGAGGUAAAGAAAUAGCCAAUCAUCUCUUGCCUGAGAGCACAGCGGGAGGGACAAGGAUCAGGAUAUAAACCCAGGCAUUAGAGCCAGCAACGGCCACCCACUUUGGGUCCCCUCCCUUUGUGUGGGAGCUGUGUUUUCACUCUAUUUCACUCUAUGAAAUC